rnacentral:rRNA from 1 species
AACGAACGCUGGCGGCAGGCUUAACACAUGCAAGUCGAACGCCCCGCAAGGGGAGUGGCAGACGGGUGAGUAACGCGGGGGAAUCUACCGUGCCCUGCGGAAUAGCUCCGGGAAACUAGAAUUAAUACCGCAUACGCCCUAAGGGGGAAAGAUUUAUCGGGGUAUGAUGAGCCCGCGUUGGAUUAGCUAGUUGGUGGGGUAAAGGCCUACCAAGGCGACGAUCCAUAGCUGGUCUGAGAGGAUGAUCAGCCACAUUGGGACUGAGACACGGCCCAAACUCCUACGGGAGGCAGCAGUGGGGAAUAUUGGACAAUGGGCGCAAGCCUGAUCCAGCCAUGCCGCGUGAGUGAUGAAGGCCUUAGGGUUGUAAAGCUCUUUCACCGAUGAAGAUAAUGACGGUAGUCGGAGAAGAAGCCCCGGCUAACUUCGUGCCAGCCGCCGCAGUAA